rnacentral:miRNA from 1 species
GGUCUUGUUUGGGUUUGUU